AGGGAGAGUUCCUUUUGAAACACAAAUCUUGAGAGACAGAGUUAGGAUCCAAAGUUCACAGGUAUGCAUAGUAUGAAAUCAUUGAGUUGAUGAUAGAUCAAAGCUAUUGGUUGGUCCAAAUACCCAAACAAGAUCAACUAACACAACGAUAUGGAAGGUGUUGGAAGAAAAAUUAGUAACAAAUCAAAGCUGUUUGGGUUGUUGCUGAAGACUCAGAAGACCAGAAAGAAGAAAAGGAAGAAAAAAAAAAUGACGUAUACACUGAUCUGUAUAAUUGGUAUAAGCGAAUUCUGAAAAGUUAACUGUUUUAGGGGAAGACGUUGAAGUUGGGAGAUUUGUCCAUUCAUUCGUUGAAGUUUAGUAGUCAUUGAUUCAAGUGUGAAAAUCUCCCUUUCCGGCCGCCCAUCAUUUGGUAUGUCUUUUCCGAUGAACCGAUAAAUGCAAUGGUUUAAGCUGAACCUGAUUCUGAAAGUAAUGCAAGUCCAUGUCUUUGCAAAUUUCAAAGACCAGAAGCAGACACAAUAAUAGUCCAACACAUAACAAUGCAUCAGACCAGAAACAUAACAGAAGCACUGAUCUGUAUAAUUGGUGUGAGGGGAUUCUGAAAACUUAACUGUUUCACCGGAAAGGCUGCUAUUAAAUUUCAGUAGUCAUUUGAUCGGUAUAAGUGGACUCGGAAUUGUGAGGUGAGACAACUGAUUGCCAUCUCAGAAGCAAUGGAGAGGGAGAUGAUAGUGCUGGUCGGAUGAUCCAACAUAAAUUGCAUGUUACAGUAACAUUGUCAACUGUAACUUGUAUUGUUACUUUGGUGGUUUAUUCUUCUCCUCUCUGGUUAUCGGUCACCCCUCUAGAUGCAUAAAGCUGUAAUCUUCGAUUUGACGAAUACGCUAUAAGAGGUUACAGUUAAGCAGAAAUUCACCAGUUUCACCAGUUGAAAACCAACUAUCUAUUCCCUCACGAUCUGGAUCAAGCAUGCAGCGACAAUCUCCCCCAGACCACAAUACUUCAGGACAAGACAACAGUCAACCAUCUCCAGUUGCAGAACACCAAGAAAAUCUAUCGCGAGAGGCGUGAAAUUUUCAUGGACAGUUCAACCACGAAGAUUCAGCAACUACUUAAAACAAGGCCUCAUGGAUCCAGAAGAAACUCCUCCAGUAUGCGAACCUGUUCUUGUGUGCAUAUGUCGACACACGUUGAGGAAUAGCAGAAGGAAACCCAUAAGAUUGUUUCUAUCAGGGGCGAAUAAUUGACGAACAACGGAAAUUUUUGUGCUCUUUGAUACGGAAGGAAAAGCUCUCCCUACAGCAUUUGCAGCAUUAAACACUUGCAAGUUAUGUUUCAUGUCUCCAUUUUAUGAAAUUACAGUUGCUAGCAAGCUAAAUUGGCAGUGGGUUACUUCUGUAGUAGGAAUUCUGGGUGUCUAGUUUAUAUACAGAACAAGUUGGAGAAAAUGGUUGGAUAUUUUGUUUAAUUACCUAUUAAUCAACACUCUUAACUUCAAAA